GUGGGGAAUUUUGGACAAUGGGCGCAAGCCUGAUCCAGCAAUGCCGCGUGCAGGAAGAAGGCCUUCGGGUUGUAAACUGCUUUUGUACGGAACGAAACGGUCCGGGUUAAUACCCUGGGCUAAUGACGGUACCGUAAGAAUAAGCACCGGCUAACUACGUGCCAGCAGCCGCGGUAAUACGUAGGGUGCAAGCGUUAAUCGGAAUUACUGGGCGUAAAGCGUGCGCAGGCGGUUUUGUAAGCCAGGCGUGAAAUCCCCGGGCUCAACCUGGGAAUUGCGCUUGUGACUGCAAGGCUGGAGUGCGGCAGAGGGGGAUGGAAUUCCGCGUGUAGCAGUGAAAUGCGUAGAUAUGCGGAGGAACACCGAUGGCGAAGGCAAUCCCCUGGGCCUGCACUGACGCUCAUGCACGAAAGCGUGGGGAGCAAACAGGAUUAGAAACCCGGGUAGUCC
rnacentral:rRNA from 1 species